rnacentral:rRNA from 1 species
UACGUAGGGUGCGAGCGUUUAAUCGGAAUUACUGGGCGUAAAGCGUGCGCAGGCGGUCUGUUAAGACCGAUGUGAAAUCCCCGGGCUUAACCUGGGAACUGCAUUGGUGACUGGCAGGCUUUGAGUGUGGCAGAGGGGGGUAGAAUUCCACGUGUAGCAGUGAAAUGCGUAGAGAUGUGGAGGAAUACCGAUGGCGAAGGCA